AGACCUUUCCUUCCCACGGCGCUGCUCUGUAAUUAGAUGUAGUUCCCUCAGAGCGGACCACCGAGAGCCCAGGCCAAGGCCGAAAUGGCCGAGCCUUCCUCUGCAUCUGGGCAGCCUGUGAUGCACCAGCAGAUGUCUUUACCUUGGUGGAUGCCCUUUCUGCCUGCAGAUGGGUCAGGUAGCGGAGGGCUGGCUCAAGCCAACAAACGCACUUGAAUUCCCCGAUUCUCCAAUCUCUCUGAAGAAUACUUAAUCUUAAUGAUAUUUCUUGCAGAUACACAUUAAUUCUGCAUUGUUCCAGUCACAGAAAAUGCCAUCUUCUUGGACCAUGGUAUUAAACAUUCACUUCAUGUUUCUGUUUC
rnacentral:lncRNA from 1 species